rnacentral:rRNA from 1 species
GAUGAACGCUGGCGGCGUGCCUAAUACAUGCAAGUCGAACGAAACUUCUUUAUCACCGAGUGCUUGCACUCACCGAUAAAGAGUUGAGUGGCGAACGGGUGAGUAACACGUGGGCAACCUGCCCAAAAGAGGGGGAUAACACUUGGAAACAGGUGCUAAUACCGCAUAACCAUAGUUACCGCAUGGUAACUAUGUAAAAGGUGGCUAUACUACCGCUUUUGGAUGGGCCCGCGGCGCAUUAGCUAGUUGGUCGGGUAAAGGCUUACCAAGACAAUGAUGCGUAGCCGAAGUGAGAGGUUGAUCGGCCACAAUGGGACUGAGACACGGCCCAAACGCCUACGGGAGGCAGCAGUAGGGAAUCUUACACAAUGGGCGAAAGCCUGAUGGAGCAACGCCGCGUGGGUGAAGAAGGUCUUCGGAUCGUAAAACCCUGUUGUUAGAGAAGAAAGUGCGUGAGAGUAACUGUUCACGUUUCGACGGUAUCUAACCGGAAAGCCACGGCUAACUACGUG